GCGUUCGAUGCGUUCGGCACUCGAGACCCAAGGAGGAGGCGGAGGCGGAAGGGUGUGGCCAACGGCGGCGGGAGCGGUUGGGCGUGUGGGCUGGGCGACCCGAUGGGGACUAACUCCCGCCCUGGUGCCUCGGCGUCUGUUGGAAGCCAGCGAGCUUGCCCAGGAACAACUAAAUGACGUUUUUCGCCAGAAUGACCCCAGGAGCAUAAAACGUGUAGUACUCAUCAGCCGAAUGUCAAAAGCACCUAGCAGCUGGGAAUGCAGAACCAGGGAUUGCCACCUGUCUGCGGAACACUGGGCAUUCUGAAACUCGGCGCAAGUCUGCAUGUCCCUGGGAGAGGCGUUCGGCAUUGGAGUCAUACCUAACCCAGCUCUAGGACGAGGGAGGUCAUUUCGCGGGGACCGGUCUGGAGUGUCUUGGAGGAGGAAACUGCUUGCCUUUGUAGGCAAAAUGGUGUUGAUGGAAGUGGCGUUUUUGGAGUGAGGCCUGUUCCCGAAGACCCACCGCACCGCCUCAAUGCCCUCAUUCAAGGUCACCAGCUGCUGCAGGAUCUUCACGUCGAUGGCUCGCAGAACUGGCUGCAAAGUGGCAACAGAUGCAAAUCACCCCCUUCACCAGAACCAAGGCCCUAAGGAGCCUGGGGACACCAACUGCCCUUUUGGCUCUGAAUCAUGAUGAGCAGCAACAUGGCAGGGGAAGCUUGCCUGUUUCCUCUUCUCCCAUGAGGGUUUUAAAUCAUCAACUGACAAAACAAGAUUUGCCUUUUUGAAAAAUUACUUUGGAUGUUGCAAGGAGAAAGGAUUGGAGGAGUAAAAAUCUGGAGUCAAGGAGACCAGUUGGAAGGCAAGAAAUGGGCUGAAAUGGCCUGAACCAGGGGCUAGGGGUUGUGAGGCUGGAGAAGCGUUAGACCAGAAUGACGGACACUUAAGGAGGUAAGAGUGACAAGACUUGGCGACUGGUUACAUUCAUUUAUUUAUAGUGGCAUUCAAUAAGUAUUUGUUCAAAAACAAAUUAUUUCAAUAAAUAUUAUGGAGAGUCUAUUAUAUGCUAGCCAUUGUGUGGUGCAGAGGAUAUAAUGGUGAGCAAACAGACCUGGACUGGUUGCUGGAGAGACAAGGAAUCAAGGGUAACUCCCGGCUGUUUGGCCUGAUGCCAUUCACCAAAGACAGGAGCCCAAGAGGAGGUCUGGGAGUGGGAAGAGAUGAUUCCAUCAGGAGUUACAUUGAGUUGGUUAGCCCUGUGAAGAUGUCCAGCUGGUAGCUGGACACAGGUCAGCCUGGAGCUGAGGAGAAAGGUUAGGACUGCAGAAAUGACUUUAGGAAUCUAGAUGGUAACAGAAGUAAGGAGAGUGGAUGAGAUCUUCCAUGUAGAAUUUGAGGAGAGAAGAGAGUUAGGGAGGAACCUUGAGGGACAUCUUUUUCAAAUGCUAAUGUAAUGUGUUGUGUUUUCUUCUGUUCUCUAAUAUAUACUUCUUAGGAAAAAUUAUCUAUUGUCUCAACUCCUAAGGCAAAUUCUGUUAACAUUUGGAGGGUACCAUACCACCAUUUAGGAAGCAGAUAAAAUAUGGAGAGCUCAAAAGAGUCUAACCAGUCUUUUGGCUUCCUCUGUUUCCUUUUAGGACAUUUGCUCUUACUACAUUCUCCACAAAAUGGUAAAGGUUAUUUCUAAUCAGCCUGUACUGCUCCCCUGCUUAAAACUGUUCCAUGGCUACCCUCUCAUUUCAAAUAAGCCUCACCAUAACCUGAAACUUGUUAGAAAUGCAAUAUUCUGCUCUGCCCUAGACUACUUAAUCAAAAACUCUAGCAAUGGGGCCCUGCAAUCUGUAUUUUAAGAAACCCUCAAAGUGAUUCUGAUGCAAACUGUAGUUGAAUAACCACUGUUAGCUAAGUGCUUUAUAUGCAUGAUCUCAUUUAACCUUCACAACUUCAUAAGUAUUAUCAUCAGUAGAACGCUGGGAGUAAGAGUGAAAUCUGGAGCCAGGUCACCUGGGUUUGAAUUCUAGCUCUCCCAGCUUCAUGACAUUGGAACUCAUUAGUAAUAGCACCCACCUCAUGGGGUUGUUGUGGAAUAGUGCUUAGAACAGUGACUAGCAUAAAAGCAUCAUAUAGGAAUAUCCCCAUUUCACAGAGAGGCAAACCUAGCCUGAGAUGUGACUUGCCCAAGGUUCAGAUGAGUGGUAGAACUAGAUUAAUUCCCCUUAGCCUCCAAAGACCAUGCAAGCCCUGGACUUGGGUGCAGCCUUGCCCAAGCCAAGUAUGUGUCCAAGGCCUGCAGUCUUCCUGACCCUGGUGAGCCUGUGUUCUAGUCCUGGCUGUAGGACUCCAACUUGAAUUGGGUCUGCCAACCGGUUGCCCUGGGGCGGGCGG